AAGUCGUAACAAGGUUUCCGUAGGUGAACCUGCGGAAGGAUCAUUAUUGAAUGAACUUGGAGUCGGUUGUCGCUGGCUGUCUUAUUUGGCAGCAUGUGCACGCCUUCUCUUUUCAUCCACACACACCCCUGUGCACUUGUGAGACUGGAGACCGGUAAAAAAAGUCUUCAGUCUGCUAAAUCCAUAUACAAACCCAUUUAAUUGAACUGAAUGUAAAUUGAUGUAACGCAUCUUUAAACUAAGUUUCAACAACGGAUCUCUUGGCUCUG
rnacentral:misc_RNA from 1 species